rnacentral:rRNA from 1 species
CCUACGGGUGGCAGCAGUGAGGAAUAUUGGUCAAUGGGCGGGAGCCUGAACCAGCCAAGUCGCGUGAAGGAAGAAGGUCCUUCGUAUUGUAAACUUCUUUUGUCGGGGAACAAAGGCGGAGACGCGUCUCCUGAUGAGUGUACCCUAAGGAAAAGCAUCGGCUAACGCCGUGCCAGCAGCCGCGGUAAUACGGAGGAUGCGAGUGUUAUCCGGAUUUAUUGGGUUUAAAGGGUGCGCAGGCGGGAGAUCAAGUCAGCGGUAAAAUGUCGGGGCUAAACCCCGGACGGCCGUUGAAACUGGUGUUCUAGAGUGGGAGAGAAGUAUGCGGAAUUCGUGGUGUAGCGGUGAAAUGCAUAGAUAUCACGAAGAACUCCGAUUGCGAAGGCAGCAUACCGGCUCCAAACUGACGCUGAGGCACGAAAGCGUGGGGAUCGAACAGGAUUAGAUACCCUUGUAGUC